rnacentral:rRNA from 1 species
AGGAUGAACGCUGGCGGCGUGCCUAACACAUGCAAGUCGAGCGAACCCUUCGGGGUGAGCGGCGGACGGGUGAGUAACGCGUGGGUAACCUGCCCUGUACACACGGAUAACAUACCGAAAGGUAUGCUAAUACGAGAUAAUAUAUUUUAAUCACAUGGUUAAGAUAUCAAAGCUCCGGCGGUACAGGAUGGACCCGCGUCUGAUUAGCUAGUUGGUGAGGUAAUGGCUCACCAAGGCGACGAUCAGUAGCCGACCUGAGAGGGUGAUCGGCCACACUGGAACUGAGACACGGUCCAGACUCCUACGGGAGGCAGCAGUGGGGAAUAUUGCACAAUGGGCGAAAGCCUGAUGCAGCAACGCCGCGUGAGCGAUGAAGGCCUUCGGGUCGUAAAGCUCUGUCCUCAAGGAAGAUAAUGACGGUACUUGGAGGAGGAACGCCCGGACUAACGUACGUGCCAGCAGCCGC